rnacentral:rRNA from 1 species
UACGAAGGGGGCUAGCGUUGCUCGGAAUCACUGGGCGUAAAGGGCGUGUAGGCGGAUAGGCAAGUCGGGCGUGAAAUCCCUGGGCUCAACCCAGGAACUGCACUCGAAACUGCUUGUCUUGAGUGCCGGAGAGGAAAGCGGAAUUCCUGGUGUAGAGGUGAAAUUCGUAGAUAUCAGGAGGAACACCGGUGGCGAAGGCGGCAUCCUGGACCGGCAUUGACGCUGAGGCGCGAAAGCCAGGGGAGCAAACGGG